rnacentral:lncRNA from 1 species
GGGGACCGUUCCAUUAAGUUUUUCCAUCUUGCUACUUGUGGCACCAAGAUGUGGUUUCUUCCAGGAAGGCUCCCCUGGCGAGGAGCUUCGCCUCGCCUGGGCUGUCUACAUGAAGCAUGGUUUUUUGUGACCUUUCAGGUGGCACUGAGAGCCAAGCACCUGCAUGGUACAUGCCUUCAAUCUUCAGUGCUCAUGCAAGCCAGGGGGACAAUCACUCAACAACUCAAACAGCUUUUGUAGGGUUACGCCCUUUGUGAGGAGGCAGAGGCCGGCUUCCUCUCAGACUCUGAUGAUGCGGGACACGGAACGGAGGAGCCAACCUCACCCACAUCUCCUCCCCGUCCCCAGCAAGGGGAGUCAGGCAUGGCUAGGGUCUGGGGCUGAGUCCGGUGCAAUCACCACACCACCGAG